AGCAGAGCUAAAUUGCCAAUAAAAAGUCAUAGAGAUUAGGUUGAAAUUGAACUACACCAGCCAUGGAAAAAGAGAUGAAAAAGAAGCAGGGAAUCUUUGCAGAAGAACAAGGAAUUAAAUAUGUUGAUGAAGAUGAGAAGGUUGAGAAAUUCUUUGCAAUAAUUAGAAGGCUGAGAGAUGCUCGUAAUUUGCCAAAAAAUAGCUUGAGAGAAUUGGAAGCUUGGAAGAGAAUGAAGAAGGCAAAACAGGUGCAUGUGCCUAUAUGGACUCCAUCUUUUCAAUUGGAAGAUUUUUCUGCGCUGGAGUUAGCUGAUGCAACUCAACCAAGUUCUUCUUCAAAUAAUAAGGAACAAGAAAAGGAGAAGAAAAAAGAACUAGACCUCAAUCUUACCUUGUAAAAAUUAUAGGAUUCCAAUGGUUUGAUUAUUCCAGGUUUGCAAAUUCACCUAUAAGGUUGUUCGUUCAUGUGAUUAUUAUUAUCAUUACUGGUUUUAUUUGAUGAGAAUUCAGAAAACAGAAGCCUUCCUAUGUGUUCCUCAAGUCAAUGAAAUUAUGCAUUCAGCAACAAAAUUUGCAUUGCAGAUGCUAUGGAGAAUGGAAAUGCACACCAAGCAGUACAGAAUACAGAUUGAUUCAUAUGUGUAGAAGUUUGGAUUUACAACCAGACAAUUGAUGCAUACUUGUACUAUUCUGCUAUGAAUCUUUUAAAUGUGUAAAAAGAAUUUUUUUUCCCCCUUCCUUUGCUGGCUGAUUGUUAAUUUGUUAUGGAAAAUUUCCACAUCCAAUAUCAGAAUGAAUUUGUUGGUAGUGGUGAUCUCCUUGUUCGUGUUCUUGCUGUUUAAAUGUUAUUCAAGAAUGAAAUCAGAGGAAAC
rnacentral:misc_RNA from 1 species